rnacentral:rRNA from 1 species
UACGGAGGGGGCGAGCGUUGUUCGGAAUUACUGGGCGUAAAGGGCACGUAGGCGGCUUUGUAAGUCAGGGGUGAAAUCCCGGGGCUCAACCUCGGAACUGCCUUUGAUACUGCAAAUCUCGAGUCCGGAAGAGGUGAGUGGAAUUCCUAGUGUAGAGGUGAAAUUCGUAGAUAUUAGGAAGAACACCAGUGGCGAAGGCGGCUCACUGGGCCGGUACUGACGCUGAGGUGCGAAAGCGUGGGGAGCAAACAGG